rnacentral:rRNA from 1 species
CUGNNCGCCUCUAAGUCAGAAUCCAUGCCAGAACGCGGUGAUACCACCCGCACGUAUAGAUGGACAAGAAUAGGCUUCGGCUUAGCGUCUUAGCAGGCGAUUCCUCCACGGCGCUCGAAGCGCGUCGUGGUAUUUCGCGUAUUGUAAUUUCAACACGAGCGGGGUCAAAUCCUUUGCAGACGACUUAGCUGUGCGAAACGGUCCUGUAAGCAGUAGAGUAGCCUUGUCGUUACGAUCUGCUGAGGGUAAGCCGUCCUUCGCCUCGAUUU